rnacentral:rRNA from 1 species
CGCGUAGGCGGUGCUGCAAGCGGCGUGUGAAAUUCCGGGGCUCAACCCCGGAACUGCGCGCCGGACUGCAGUGCUCGAGUGUGGGAGGGGGGUGCGGAACUCUAGGUGGAGCGGUGAAAUGCGUAGAUAUCUAGAGGAACACCGGUGGCGAAAGCGACACCCUGGCCCGCAACUGACGCUGAGGCGCGAAAGCGUGGGUAGCAAACAGGAUUAGAUACCCUGGUAGUCCACGCCGUAAACGAUGAGCACUAGGUAGCCGCCGGAUCCGACCGGGGGCUGCUGAAGGUAAUCCAUUAAGUGCUCCGCCUGGGGAGUAUGGUCGCAAGGCUGAA